UAGCCANGCAUGGUCUAAGUAUAAAUAGUUAUACAGUGAAACUGCGCAAUGGCUCAUUAAAACAGUUAUAGUUUAUUUGAUAAUUAAAUCUACNUGGAUAACCGUAGUAAUUCUAGAGCUAAUACAUGCUGUAAGACCUGACUCACGAAAGGUUGUAUUUAUUAGAUCUUAAACCAAUAUUCCUUCGGGACUAUUGUGAUGAUUCAUAAUAACUGAUCGGAUCGAGACUAGCUCUCGAUAAAUCAUUCAAGUUUCUGCCCUAUCAGCUUUCGAUGGUAGUGUAUUGAACUAUCAUGGCGAUCACGGGUAACGGGGAAUUAGGGUUCGAUUCCGGAGAGGGAGCCUGAGAAACGGCUACCACAUCUAAGGAAGGCAGCAGGCGCGUAAAUUACCCAAUCCUGAUUCAGGGAGGUAGUGACAAGAAAUAACAACUCUGGGAUUCAUUUCCUAUGAGAUUGAAAUGAGAACAAUCUAAACCGCUUAUCGAGGAACAAUUGGAGGGCAAGUCUGGU
rnacentral:rRNA from 1 species